UUUUUCUUUUUUUUUUUUUUUUUUUUUUUCCCCUGCCCUGGAAACACGUUACCCUUGAUGCCAUGCAAGUUCUUAAAAAAGUAAAAUUAGAAAUUAAGAACUAUGACAGUCAGGCCUGAGACUGUAGUCUCACUGGCACAUCUCUCUCAGCUGGCUGCAGGGACAGUGAAACUGAUUUCACAUUAGAGUUAUGCAAUUUAUAGGAGUAUGUUUUUGAUUUGUGUGCUAUAAUCUUCUACAAUUUUCUUAGUCAGGCACAGAACAUAUUUUUCAUCAAAGAGUCUGCAAAUUUUCAUAAUGAUUUCUUAUUUUGUAGAAACAAAAAAUGAAAAAUCUUUCCAUAUCUUUCAGUCUUAUUCUUCUGCUCUGUCCUCAUGUUCAGACAGAAGUUCUAAGAUUUGUCCACUUCCCAAUUUCUGCUGCUUAUGCCAAGGUUCAUAAUUCUAUACCAUGCAUCUUCUAUUACAUCCAGCAUAUGAUUCUAUGACCAUGACCUCCAGAUUCAAGUCUGUAGGUUUAUUUUUCAUGUUUACCAUCAUCUUCACCUGUCUGCUACAGAACCAAUAAGAAAUCAAUUUGUGUUAUUUGAUAGAGUUAAAGCCAAAUAAAAAACUGAUUUACCAGGUUAACAUUCAUCCUUACAGAAAACCAUAUAAUGGUUAAUUUUCAAAGAAGGAUUUUUUCUGUGUUUGCUUGCCAUUUAUUAUGUUCUUUGAGGCUGAGAUGGCCUUGUUUGGGCCAAAACUCACAUAAGUCUCCAGCACAGUCAAGAAUAAAACAAUCAUCCUUGACUCCUUUUCCUGUGCUUUACAAGUAUUCUGAUAUUUGUGACACCUGGCUUUCAAGUUACUUCCCUGCUCUAUCCAUACAUUUUAGUGGAUGCUUUUAUCAUUUCUCAGCUUGCUUGCUGACUUGUUGUUGUUGCUGUUUUAAAACCUCUUUACAUCAGCUGACUUUGACUUGUCAGGGUCAUGAUCUACCUAUGUCAUAUUUUAUUUUAUAACUAAGAGAGACUUUUUUUUCUCUUCUUCUGGGGCUUAUAUUCGUUAUGGAAUAACUCAGUUCAUGACAAUAUUACCUUCAUCAUUUCUUUGACAUUUCCAUCUGCAUUUGGGAGGCAUCCAAGUGUUCAUGCCAGUUGUGUUCAUUGCACAAGAAUUUUGGCAUCAAAACCACUGAUGACACUUUUUUUAAAGAAAAAAAAAGCUAAAAAAACAAAACCUAGCCAGUUUGUCAGUAGGCUUCCUUCUUCUAAUUUUCAGUUCUGGCUGUCAACCCAUAUCAUCAAAGUAGCUAGGCCUGUUGAGGAUCGAGUAGAGAGAGAAAGAAGUCAAGAAGCUUCAGAGGAAUAAAAAAAAUCAGUGGGCAAAGCUGCCCUGUCCAAAAGACUGGUCUGGAAGUUUAGAGAAGAGGGAGCUAAUUAUAUUCCUAAAAAGAAGAAAGGAGGUAUGGGUCACAGUCUGGGAGAUGGAGCACUUCCCUUCCCUUGCCUUUGUAAUCUGAAGUCUGUGGGGACAGCACAAGAGCAGAGUUGUAUUCCAAGUUACUGCAUUUUUUAAAUAUUUGUAAAUGCCCUUUGCUGAGGUUUCUGACUCUAGGCACUUCUGUUUGGCUGCCAACAGAGAUAGCUGACUACAAGGACUAUACAAUAUUUAAAGCUGUAUUGCCAAAUUCCCUUUCACCACUUUCUCUUUUCCUUCUGAAAUAAAGUGUACAAAAAUCACAGCUGUGUUGCCAAACUAUGCUGCAGUGCUUCACAGGAAAUAAUACAUAUUUUCCAUUCAAAUAACAUCCUACCACUUUUAUAAGAGUAUCUGGAACAAUAUCUCCAUUUUCUUCUGUGGAUGCAUUGGCAGCCUUUCUUGCUUAGCAGUAGUUCAUCAUCUUCAUUCCUAAGAGGGGCAUUUUCUUGAUGGCGCUUUGUGGUGUCCCUGAUGCUCAUUUGCUUUGUCCUGUGUUAGGUCACUGACACAGGAACCAGAUGUUUUGAACAAAAAAAUGCAUCAUGCAAAAACUCAGUCAUGGUAAAAUUUUACUUGCACAUUCUUAUCAUACAGUAAAUAUCAGUGAAUCAAAGUAAAGGUAGAGCUUCAUGAAAAAUCACCGGAUUCAUGUAUUAUGAUGAAAGUGAUAAAAUAUUUUAGGAUUCUGAAAUUCCUGAGAGGCUGUUCAUCUAAAAAUGUAGACUAUAGAGACCCAUAUGUGAGCUAGGCUGUUUUAUUGGUCUGCCAUUGAUGGAGACUGAUCCAGCACAGUUAAUCAGAUUUUGUAAUUGAUUUAUUUAUUCAGUCAGCUUUAUGUUGUCCUGCAAGUGUUUAUUUCUUUGUUUUCAACAGAAAAACGAUCUGUGGAAAUUACUUCUUAGAUGGCCUAUCACAUUGUAGAAUAUUGGGUUUAGGUGGCUUAGUGCUGUUCUAGUUGGUCUGAAUCUUUCUUAGGAAAUGUAAGGCUCUAUUUUUAAAAUUAGCAAACUUUUCUGCAUAGGACAUGUAUUUAUUUUUUCUAAGUACCUCAGUAUUAUCCAGGAUUUAUCAAGAAUCUCCACAUUACAUUUUCUUAGAACAGCUGAAUUUUUCCAACUUUUAAUUCUGAAGUAAUUUUUCCCAUUUGUUCUGAGGUUCUAAAUCAGACUCCAUUUUAAGGCUCAUCCCUUUCACUUGUAAAAACAUGCAAAUGAUACUUCUCAAUUGUUUUCUGAACUGAACAGUUUUAAAGAUGUUACAGCAUACUCCUUGGGCCUUUCUGUAAACUCAUGAAUCUAAAAUUCUCUUGAAUCAUCUUUUUAAUGUGGAUGUUGUUUAAAUUAAAAAAAAAAAAAAGGAGAAAGGGACAUCUGUAUGUGCAGAAUCUCUUGAAGAAUAAACAAUCAUUUGCCUUGCAGGACAGCAAAAGCAUAACUUUCAGAUGCCUUCUGCAUUUUUCUGACUACCUGAACCAAUUUACUUCCUGCAGACUGUCAUAUCAUGUUCUUAUUUCAGCUAUUGAAUGGCUCUGGGAUCUGUUUUGAAGAAGCAUUUGUAUUGUGUAUUUUGAUGUUGAAAUUGGCCUCAAACAGUGUUUAUUUCUGGAUCCUCUCACUUUGCAUACAACAUGCUCAUGAGUCCUGUUCUUAAUCACUUACUCUUUCUUCAACAUUACAAGAGAUUGCUAAUUUUCUUAGUGUUUCAUUUACUUUUCUAUGUUCCAUUUUCACUUCAGAAUCAUCAGCAGAAGACAGUAUAGAAUGACCAGUGGUUUAAGAAUACACAAUUUCAUAGAAAUAUCAACUAUAACAUCUAAAGGUUUGUCAUCUGGAGUAAAAACGCUUGUUUUGACAGGCAACAAGUUACAGGUUUCAGUUCCCAUAACACUAAACACUUUUUGAAGCUUUUCCGAUCAAAACUAGUUAUUACAUACUGUGCCAGCCUUUUGACACAGGCAAUCCACUACUCAACUGAUCUAUCCAACAAAUAUUCAUUCUUCCAAAGACAGAGAAUUUUAUUUUUUUUCCCCCUAAAACUAUAUAGUAUUUUAAAGUUCCAGUGCUGCAUCCUUCCAUUUUCAUAGCAUUACACUUUUGGUCUGGGACCUGUACGGCCCUGGAGAACAUGAGUAACUAUUCAUUCUUGAAUCCAAGUAUCUACAUUUAUAAAGUAUAUUCAAGUACACUGAUUAUAUUUAUUUGGCACUUUACUAGACAAAAGAUUUUUAGGUAUGGCAAUCAAUUAAAAGACCUGAAGUUAAGUUAUUGAUGCCCCAAUUACUUGUAGCAUUGUUAGUUGCUGGUGUCAGGCUAAAGAGAAUACCUUAUCCUUUGACAUUUGGAUUAAUUUAAAAAAAUAUCCUGGUAGAAAACUGUCACUUAACAUGACCAAAUAUCACUCAAAUAAACUCCAUCUGACCAGAUUCCUACAGCCUUGGAAGAAAUAGACAUCAACUAUAUUGAUAUAUUUGGGCUUUCACUUUUGUUUGCAUAUGUGUGCAUUUUUGUUUGUACGUGUGUUUCAUUCCCCUGCAGCUUUGGUUCAGUGGUUCUUCUAGUGCCAGCUGAUUCCUGAGGACCUCUCUGCAGCUGGAGGGAAAAUUAUCUUUGGGAGGAAUUACUAAUGGAUUAGGCAAAAUGGAAAGGAAAGCACAUGCCCGUACUAACAAGUUGUCAUCAAAGAAAAGCAGCAUUGUUCUUCUGUUUAACACUGGAGGACAGCAAUUCAAUCUAGUGUUUGUGCAAGGCAAAGAAUAGGGGAUAUACAUAUCUGGGAGCACAGGUAGGAGCUGCAAUAGAGAAGAGUGCAAUGGAAGCAGAGGACAUCUGUGGAAUGGGAGGUGGUAUCAAAGACAACUUACUGAGCGUUUCUGGUGUCAUUUCACCAUUUUUUGUUCCUGGGUAACUCACAUUUUAUUCAGGCAUUUGGUUGAGAGUGUUAUGUGUAAGACAGUAUGCUUUCAAGCUGCCUGUGAAUUAGUGCAACACAGUAGAGAGGAACAUAUCUAAGGGAAACCAAAUAAAGCAGAAUUCAUCUUGUAAUCUAUACACUAAAGGCAAAGGGAGCCACAAAGGCAACAUUGUGUCACUGCUACCUGUUUCAAUAGAAGGUGAGACGUUAGAAACUAAUAAAUACGCUGAUAUAAAAUGAAGUGAGUAUACAGGAAAACCUAUCUUCUAACAACAGAAGUGUGCUAGGGAUUUCUAGAAUCCAUUAGAAAGAGGUAUCAUCCCUAUAUUUGAGAACAAUAGCAUUUACCAGUUUUUACUAUCGUCAUGAACACACAUUUGAUGGCAUUUAGAGUCUGCAGAACACAGAAUAAUGUUUGUCUAAUGUAAAAGAUGUUUCUAAUCUCCAUUUGAUGCAACUAUAUACACCCAGAGAAGCCAUAGACACUUGAGAAGCAUAGGCUGGCAAGAAAAAAAAAAGGGAGUUUUGUACAUAUAAGAAAAGCUCAGAAAUCUCUAGCCAGCAACCCUUUCUUCCCAGGAAAAAUUUAACAGACUGACUCCGUGUCAGGGUACCACAUAUUACAAAGCCUAUAAAGCUGUUUUGUGUCUCCUGGCAUGAGUUCCAGGAAAAAAGUCCAUAAGCAUUUGAGCAAAAAGUGGCCUGCUGAUGUGUUGAAAAUACAAAGGUUUGGUCUUAUUGUUCUUGUGCAUAUCAAUUGUAGCACAUUAAAAGCAGUUCAGCACUAUUUGAAAUUGAUUAACUUCUUCAUCAUGCACUACAGACAGAUGCAUUUACAGACAUGUGAGAUUUCUAGCUAUCUCCACCUUGUACAGAUAUAUCUCACCUACAGCCCAGUGAUAAAUGCAUUUACCUGAAACUGAAGGCACCCACAGGGAUUAUAACCACAAUGCUGAAGUCAAAAAAACAAUUAUUUUCACAGUCCUGAGCUCAUGAAGUAGUCUGAAAGAUCAAGAGAAAUGUUAAAUAUCAUUUUAAUACUAAGGCAAAAGCAAUUCAUAUUCCCCAGAAAGUCAACUUAAGCAUAUACAAGAGCCUAACUAGAAGUGAUGAAAUAUGGAGUGGGAAAUGGAACCAGAAAGUCUUCCUCAUCUACUGGUCACUGCAAUAAUGUGUUCUAUGAAGAGUGGAUUCUGAGUGAAGGAACAGAAACAUCAACCAUUUCAACUGGUUUUGUACAGAGGUCAUUGUGUUAGGAGUUGUACAAAAAAAACAAAACAGGUGGUCUCUUCCUACUGAACUCCAUUUUAUAGCUGUGUGUGCAUGGAGAUAUAAGUUAACUUAUACAUAUGUGUGUCUGUAGUCAUAUGGGAAUGAUAGCGUAGUAUGGCUGAAGCCCACAAACAAAAGGAGAGCACAAGGCAAUGAUACAGAUAUGGCAAAAGAGAUAAGCAUUUUAAGAUGUAUCACACCAGUUCUCUGGCUGUUGACAGUUUUCUUGAUGGUCACCUAAACAUAAAGAUCGUAAUUAUGGUGAUCUCAUAUAGAGUAUACUGUAGUAAUCCACAUCUGAAAGAAGGCUGCAUGUUUCUUGCCCAGCAAUAAAAUAACCUCAUCCAUAGUACAAAAAGAUGAGGUGACUUGACCAUAUAGAUCAUACAAAAAUAUGAUAUUAACAUAGGGGCUUGUAACACCACACUUGUCUACUGCAUUUCUUCAAAAGUCUUUCCACUUCAAUCCUGUUUAAAAAAAAUGCAAGUCAUUUACCUAUCUAUUGCUUUGUAUCUGCUGUCAAGCAUCACUCUGCUUACAGAGAUUUUAAAAUGGAUGCCUAAGAGAAACUGUGUCAUAAUUUCGCUCUGUCACAUAAUAGGGCAAAAGAGGUAUGUGCUAUCAAGGAUGGGGAAUUUUUCUGUGUGCUGUGUUGCACACUGCAUUAAUUCAAGCAAUUGAAUUUUCAGAGUUUUCUUGUGCUAACAGAGAAAUGUGAAAACACACUGCCUAAUGAAGAGAAAGACUGCAUGCAUUUUAGCAAUUCAGGCUUUACAAUUCAUAUCAAAUUUACUUCAAAUUUUAAAGUUGAAACAUUUUAAGCAAUUGAAAAUAUUUAAGGCAUUUUCAAAAUAAAAGCAACUUCAAUAAUAUGAGCAAAGUUAAUAGGUUCAAUAAUAUGAGCAAAGUUAAUAAAGUUAACCUAGGAUUUCCUAGGUUUCAAUGUUUUUGUCAUACCACAGCAAACAAUUCAAGGUAAAUGAAUAACCUAGAUAACUAAAUCGUGCUAGUCAUCAUUAAAAAGGAAAGAACAAAGAACUGCAAGCUGAAGUGAGAGUGAGACUGAAACAAAGGAAAGAAAGAGAAAACUACAUUUGAAAAGAAAAAAUAAAAUGUGGUAUUGUGUGGAUUAGAUACAUUCUAUUUUUCUCUCAGUGUUUUAUCUUUUUUUAUCUGGUUUAUCAGUGCAUGAGUCACUUUCUUCAAACCUUUGUUUUCCAAUGUCCUUAACUUUAUCUUGCUUUUGUCUUGAAAUUGGACUGCUACUAUUUCACAUGACAAAGUUUCUGUUUAUGUGAUAGUCUAUUACUUGGCUGUGGGCAAUUUUUGUCCUUCUAAUUUAAAAAUACUAUUUUCCUUCUACCCUCGCC
ensembl:lncRNA